rnacentral:rRNA from 1 species
GAUGAACGCUGGCGGCGUGCCUAAUACAUGCAAGUAGAACGCUGAAGGAAGUGCUUGCACUUCUGGAUGAGUUGCGAACGGGUGAGUAACGCGUAGGUAACCUGCCUGGUAGCGGGGGAUAACUAUUGGAAACGAUAGCUAAUACCGCAUAACAAUGGAUAUUGCAUGAUAUCUAUUUUAAAGAUGCAAUUGCAUCACUACCAGAUGGACCUGCGUUGUAUUAGCUAGUAGGUGAGGUAAAGGCUCACCUAGGCGACGAUACAUAGCCGACCUGAGAGGGUGAACGGCCACACUGGGACUGAGACACGGCCCAGACUCCUACGGGUGGCUG